GGGAAUUAAACAGAAAAAAACACCUGAGGCCACAGCAAAGGGAAAAGUAGCUGUGAACAGUAUCAAACAACCACAAAAAACUAGUGAGAGAAUGAGAGGCUCUUCACAACAAGAGUCUGGAGAAUGCAUUGUGCAAGUACUUGUCAAGAGAGACAAAAAGCCGGAUCUUUAUUGACACAGCAGCUGCUACGAAAUGGAGAGCAGAUGAACUCCCAGGGAAACCAGGUGAGACAGAAAGGGAAUCAAGAUCUCCAUUCACAGCAGCAGAGCUAAGGAUGAACAAGGCUGGACUUAUGAGAAUGGAUGUCCAGGGAGAUUUGAGAGGAUUACUCGGUUCAAUUAAGGGACUCCUUGACAUGGACUCUGAGGCAAAGGCAUGUUCUACAGACAUCGGUCAGCCCAGACCCCAAACUGGCCUGAGGUCCAGUAUGAGAAAAAACACUCUUCAGAAAGAAAGGAUUUAAUGGUCAUCUCUGCCCCAAGAUUCAGAAGCUAGACCCAGAAUUCACAGCGUCACCACCUCAUCAGCCACCUAAGAUUUACCACUCCCCUGAAAGCUCCCAGCAGCAAGCUGCACUGAUAAAGAGAGAACACAGAAUUGGGCAAAUAUGGAAGCAAAGGAUCUCAGCAAGAGAAGAGAUUCAACACAAGCAAGGCAAAUGCAGACAAUGCCCCGAGACAGAAGUACCCUCAUUGUAUUAGAUGACUAAUGGAAAAUAUGAAUGAUAAGAAAUUGCUUCUUUGCAUUUGUAGAUGUAUCUGGGAAGAAGGAAACAUGAUCUGAGUUUCUGAGGCAUGGGCUAAUGCUUGCAUCAUUGUCUCCAGUUGUUGGCAAGGGUUGUGUUAGUGAUUUAGAGCUACUGUAUUUCAUUUCAUCGG